rnacentral:rRNA from 1 species
UGGAAACAGAUGCUAAUACCGAAUGAAACUUAGUGUCGCAUGAUACGAAGUUAAAAGGCGCUUUGGCGUCACCUAGAGAUGGAUCCGCGGUGCAUUAGUUAGUUGGUGGGGUAAAGGGCCUACCAAGACAAUGAUGCAUAGCCGAGUUGAGAGACUGAUCGGCCACAUUGGGACUGAGACACGGCCCAA